GCAAUUAACAUGACCUAUGACAUCUACCAAAUGAAAUUUAAUUUGCCAAAUGGCCUAAGGGACCCUCUUGGUCGUGACCCAUGCACCAUUCUUCCUAUUCAAUUAAAACUGCAGAGAACGUUUCCUUCCAAAAGGCAACCCACAAGCUUGUUUCUCUUCCCAAUAUGCCCCAAUUAGUGUCAUGCCAGUCAAACUCUUGAAAGAAAACGUCUUCAUGCAAUACAUCAUGAGAUGACUCGUGGGACAAAUGGUUCUUUUAGGUAAUUUAAACUUUGGGAGAUGUCACUGCCUUUGGGAUUAAGCCUAGCCUUGCGACAUUUUCAAACUCAGCGCUUCCUUCGCCUUCUAUGGCUCUCACUCUGAGUCAGCCUCGACAUCCAUUGGUGUAAUGACAUGGGGAGAAGAUUUCAUUUCAGGUUGUUUUGUCAUCGUCAUGCUCACAAUGCUUGACUAAAGCAUUUCCUUAAGUGCCAUGAAAUUGAUUGCCCCAAGCUUUUUUUCUCCUUCAACUGCGUUAUUCAAUGACUUCAUUGGCAAGGGAAGCUAGUUGUGAGAAACUUCUUUUUCAAUUCUUUGUAAUUCGCCCUUAUUCAACAACAUACUCACUUGCAUUUGAGUCAUCAAUUCUCAAUGUCUUCUUUUUAGUUCAAUGCUAACAUUCCUUCUUCAAUUUUGUCACUGCUGCUUUCACACGUUCCUCAGCACCGUGAAAUUGUUUUUCACAAUUCGGGUCAGGAGAAAUUAACUUGAAUGACAACUUGAUUGUCUUGACCCUUUCUACGACUCAUUGGCUAAAGGAAUGUUUCAUUGACAGUCCAUGAUCUUGGACCUUUCUACGAAGCGAACAAAAUUGCCCCCAAGCAUUCUUAACUCGAUGAAGCAUUUCAGCAAAGAUUCAUUCUUCAUAUGAUCUGCAAUGUGACAAGAGAUGCAGACGUUGACAAUCCUCUCACAGGAUCCCAAUGUGUUUUUUUUUUCUUUUCCCUUUUCUUUUUGUAUUUUGUUUUUUUUUUUGUUGUUUUUUUUUUGUUGACACACGCACAACACUGGAUACCCAUGAGGGGACAUCAAGAUAGCUCCUGCAAUGGUGUAUGAUACACGAUCUUUGCUGCCAAGAAAACAGGCUAUUUAAACUUUUCCUCUUCUGAGCCCACACAGAGCUGCGUUCGUUCAUUUGCCCCUUUCACCUUUGGUUUACAGUGCAGUAGUUCACCGAGGGGACAUGUGACAUUCGAAACGUCCUUACUCAUGCGAGAAAUGAAGCAUGCAUACAACAUCGGUAAAUAGCUAACAUCUUCUUUCUCCUUGGCUCACAACCUCGACCGAGAGUCCCAUAAGUUUCAGUUGGGCCAAUAGUGAUUGGAUUCUUAGAGCAAACUUUGUACCUUGCAACUGCAUUCAUGUCGGUGUAGUCGACCAACUCCUUGGUAUUAGGAAAAAGCAUGACACCAUAGUGGAUAAGAGCUAGUACAUUCAUGAAUGUUUCCCAAAUUUCCUCCUUGGUUAAUCAAUGCAAAAACCAGUCUAGGCAUUCUUAAGCUAGUAUGAAUUCGCUUUCCAACUUUAUAGGGUGCAUUUUCGUGACUCUCAUUAGCUGCAAGACAGGGGUAUAUUGCCAAAGGUGAUCGUUUGGAUCUUUGCCCUCAAGAAAUGCAUCAAAGAUCAACUCAAAUUCUUCUACUGUAGGCACCAAUUGGAAAUGGUUCAUAGUGCUGGGCUAACACAAAAACUGUUGUCGUUUGGACCUCCACCUCUGGCAGGAUCGACAAAUUCCCUCACUCCUUCCUGAAUGCAUUUUUCAAGGUUAUCCUUCUUUCACCAGAUCCCUCAAGUGACCGAUGUUGCCCCCCUUGGCCUCAAUGCGUAUGCCUUUCUUCAAAAAGUCUAAACUCAAAUGUCCUUUGACUCAAAAUCCCAUGUUAACUUCCAUUUUUACGGUAAUCACGACUUUAUAAUUUCUUGACUAGAUCCCAUAAAAUGUGACAAGACCACAAAAACAUGAGCAACAAAGAAAGAAAGAAAAAAGAAUGUACCGGUAUGUACAAGGUGCUUGAUUUUAUUAAGCAACAAUGAGGGUUAUAAGACUGCACACAUCUCCUUUUGUGCCCUAACGGAGGUUCGACGCUUUAGAUUCAAGGUCAAGUAUAUGCAAUCUCACUAGGAUAGUACCCUAAGCCUAAGGAUCAAUGGUCACUAGAGCUAUGGCUCCCUCCACAACAUUUCCACAACAGUAGAGUAAUCAACUCGGUGUGAAGACACAAAUGGAGAGAACAGACUCUAGCUGGAGUUCUCACGAUAGUCAAACAGUCAGUAUGGCCCAAGUGGCACCGCUACGCAACCCCUCUAAUUCUAGGCUGCACUCAGACCUGGGUAUAGGGCCUCACUCAAUAGAUGCAUAAUAUGUGUGUGUGUGAAGGGAGAAUGCAAUGCACCCAAACCCUCACCUGCAAAACAACCAGAAGAUUCCCAGGCACAUAUAAACAUGUUUUCUACCCUAGGGUUCAAUAUCCAACAAUUCACAUGCAGUUAUUCCAAAUAUCAAGCAUAGAUAAAGAAAAGGGGAAGAAAAACACAAAGCAAAACCACAUUGAAUUCGUGCAUCUAAUUAAAUGGCCUGACUCUCUAGCGGUCCCCAGUGGAGUCGCCAUCUGUCGCAACCGGAAAAUCACGACGGGACGACGAUCCAAAAAGAUAAAACAUUUUUGAAAAAAGAUUUGGAGUCGCCACCAUAGUUUAUUCUGGAAAACUACGGAAAAACCGUAAAAUGAUAACGCAAGGUCUACAAAACCAAAUUCUGGUUUCGGAACUCGGUUACGUGUGGGGAAGGUGUUAGCACCCCCACAACGCCUGCCCUAAGGCAGUACCUUUAACUAAAUACGCGAAUUUGAUGUGGUUUGCAAAAUGUUUAAUUUCCCCUAAAAAAUGAAACUCUAAAGAAAACAAAAUAUUUUUUGUGUUUUUUGUGCCCGACAAGGAUUGACCUUGCUCCUACGUAUUCUCAGUUGGACUGAGAAAUCAGGAUCACGUAGUUCUGGCUGAAAGAUUGUACGUUGGAAGAUGUUUUUAGUUUUUGAAGAUUUUUAUAUUUUUUUGGUAUUUUUUUUUUUUAUAAAAGAAAGAGAAAAGGUUUUCAGCAUAACGCAGACAAAAUGGUUGCACGUGUGCUUAAACUUUUUAAAAUAAUUUUUUGUUAAUUUUUUGAAAGAAAAAGAAGGUUUUUAGCACAAGGCAGACAGAAUGGUCGCACGUGUGCUUAAACCUUUUAAAAUAAUUUUUUUUAAUUUUUUUUGAAAGAAGAAGAAGGUUUUUAGCACAAGGCAGACAGAAUGGUCGCACGUGUGCUUAAACCUUUUAAAAUAAAUUUUUGUUAAUUUUUUGNNNNNNNNNNNNNNNNNNNNNNNNNNNNNNNNNNNNNNNNNNNNNNNNNNNNNNNNNNNNNNNNNNNNNNNNNNNNNNNNNNNNNAAAGAAGAAGAAGGUUUUUAGCACAAGGCAGACAGAAUGGUCGCACGUGUGCUUAAACCUUUGUUAAUUUUUUGAAAGAAGAAGAAGGUUUUUAGUACAAGGCAGACAAAAUGGUCGCACGUGUACUUAAAGCUUUUAAAAUAAAUUUUUGUUGUUUUUGAUAUUUAUUUAAAAGUAGAUAAAGUAAAAUAAAUAAAAAGUAGAAAAAUAGAAAUAAAAUAAGUAGGUAAAUUACUAAAUAAAAAUAAAGAGUAAAAAUAAAGAUAAAAUGAAAACUUUAAUGAUAAAAUAAAAUAAAAGGUGUGGUGGUGCGUUAGAAAGAUAGGUGCAGGAAGUAAAACAUAAACAAAGAAAGGUCCAAUAAACAAAAGGGUGUGCAGAAAUCGAAACCAGGGUGUGCAACUGGAUCUUUUGCUGACCAAGCCCAAGGCCUCUUUUUCAUUUUUAUUUGCAGAAUUGGAUUGGGAGUGCGAAUGGGAAUGCAAGUGGUGGUGGGAAUAGAAAGGCCUAAUAACCAGGCCCAGUAACAUAGGCGUGUAUGGCCGAAAAUGGGGGUGCAGAUAACAUGCUCCGGCCCAAUCCUACUUUCUUGGUUUGCAGACAUGAAGUAUAGGUGCAAAUAGCAUUGGUGUGGUGGCAGGAGAAGAGAAUGGACCCAACAGCUAGCCCAAACCACUUUGCCCCAACUCAGAAACAUUAGGGGUUCUCACUUUCUUUCCUCAUUCUAACAUUCAGAAAACUUGGGGCUCUCUUCUUCUCUGAACGAAGGAAGCUAGAGAUAAGUUUGCUUCCCUUGCGCGAGGACGCCCCCGUCUCCAUCGGGCUAGUCGCCAACAGAUGCAGGUCAGAACGCCGUCAGUGUCGACGGCCGCCGCCGCACCAAUCCCUCCUUCCAUGCUCUGCGUCUUGCAUCCUGUGUGAGAGAGAAAGAAAACUCUCUCUGCUUGAAUCAAAAACCGCGAAAUAGGUAACCUAGGGCAGCACUCGUCUCCUCUCCGACAGGCACACAGGGCAGCCACCGCAAGCCGUCGUCGCAGCCAGCCUCACCAAGCUCUCUCUUCCUUUGCGUGUGAACGAUUUCCCUACUAGGCGUCACUGAAACGUAUUCUCCCUUCACGAGUCUUAAGGCUUCUCUCUCAUUCUUCAACCUCCACAAUGAUAAGGAGCGCCAGAGAUGUCGUCACGGUUGUGCCUCCUUGUUGCCACCUAGAAUCGCCACUACACAAUCACCGAUGGCGACGCUAGCCAACCCCGAAGGCCAUUAAUGUUCAGCAACCAAUCAUUCCUCCUCUCGUGCGAGCCUGGUUUCUAUAGAACCAAACGUCGUGCCAAUUUAUGCCCUGCUAAAGGUGUCUCCAGGGAUGCAAGUUGUCACCGACAGCUCUUAGUGAUCACUGCAAUGGUCGUUGGAAUUUUCUACGUUGACAGAGGUGACUAUGAACGACGACAGUGGAAUCGCCCUACCUUUCUCAACAUCAAAACCCUUUCCCUUUCAUUCUUGAUUUCCUUAUUGGUUGUUCUUUGUUGAAAUUGAUUUUUGUAUGGUAUUGGUUAACGGAUAUAUGCUUGGAAGAAAGGUGGUGAGAGUAUGUUUUGUAGUGUUGGGUGUAGUGUGAUGUCCGUUUCUGUGAAAGCUGGAUGGGGGAUGUUAAUGGAGGUGACUGGAGAAUGAUUGGGCAGAGGCUAGUAAGUGAAUGGUUGGGGCAAUGCAGCGUGGUUGAUGAUGGUUCUGUUGAUGAUGAGUAGAUGUGAGCGAAAGGCGCGGUGUGAGUAAUGGAGAUUUAAUGAGGAUGAAGGUGGUGGAAGGGUAUGGGUAGAAGCUAACGGUGGCCAGAUGGUUGGAGUGAUAAGGCGUGGUGUAGGCGAUGAGAAAAAAGGAUUCUCUGUUCUUGGCGGCUUUGUGCCAAUGGAAGGUUGAGGGUGAGAGUCCUAAUGUGUGAAUGGAGAUGGGAGAUGAUGAUGAGCUCUAUUGUAGGAAGGGGGUUGGUAGCUGCCGUGAGUGUGUGGGUGAAUGAACUGAGUGAAUGAAGGUCAUCUUUGUUGCGGGAAUGGAGGAAUUUGAGAAGAAGGUCCGAGGUCAAUAAUGGAUGUUGUUGGAGGUGAAGAGAGGGCUUGGGUAGUGUUGAGUGAAGAAAGGUGAGUCCAUAUAGGAAUUGAGGGUAGAGUGGGAGAUGAAUCCAGGAUCCCCUGAUGUCUGUUAUGUGUGGGUUUUUGCUGUUAGGAAACUAAAGAUGAGGGAGGAUCCUCUGGUUGUGUGUGAUGGUGGCAGGGAACCGCGGGAGGGGGGUCCGUGCAUGAGGGAGGAUAAAUUUUGCUAUGUCCCCUCCAAGUAGCCCUGCCAAAUUGUCAAUCCGCGUCUGCCAAAAACCAAAAUUGCUUUGUACCUACAACGCCAAAUUGCAACGCGAAACGCUGCUAUGUCUCCUCUGUCAACAAACUUCUCUCAUUUCCUUUCUUUUUUUUUUUCAAGACAACUUUCCUCCUUUUUUUUAUAUUAUAUUGACUACAUUAAAACGAAACUAAACAAUGAAAAGUAAAAUAAAAAACGAAAAUUAAAAUGGAAAUUAUAAGAGGAAAAAUAAAAUAAAAAGAAUAAUAAAAAGAAAAAUAAAGAUGAAAGAAAUAAAAAUAACAAUAAAAAUAAAAAUGAAAAUUGGGAUAAAUAACAAUAAAAACCUAAGAUAAUACAAUACAAUAGAACCAAAAUAUAAUCCAGAUGAAAUUGGGUGUUGACAUUCCCAAAACAAUUCCAAAGCUCCAAAAUUCCCUAAGGUUAAGGUAAUCAUGGUUUUUCACUUAGGGCUAGUGUAGGAGCUUCAAAACAAAGAAUGGAGAAAGUAUAGGCUCAAGAGGGGUUAUCAAAGGUUCAAAACAGGGUAGGCUCAUCUGGCUAGAGAGGCUCAACAACAAAACUGCCUCUAUCACUUUCAAACAUGCAUAUCAAUCAAGAAUCAUCAACAAGAGUCAAGCCAAAGCAUAUGUGCAAGCAAUCAAGAGACAUAUCACACACAAGAAAAAAAUAUCAAGUGGCUCAAAUCUCACACAUGGCAUUUUUCUCACAAUCAAUUCAACCUCUCAAACAUCAUAAUCAUGUUCCAGGCAAAGAAAAGCAAGGAUUUCCAACAAAUCAGAGUAUCAAUGAAGUGAAAGACAAACCUACAACCUAAACAAAGUCCAGAAAUCAAGAGAAACAUGCAAAAUUGUACACAAGACACAACAAAAACUACCUAGAAAACGAAAAAUUUAACGCAGAAAACAUAAACUAACAACAAAAAUUCAGAAUCUUCCCACACUUAAACUACACAGUGUCCUCAAUGUGUCACAAGCAUAAGAUCACAAUCAUAAUAGUCAACAGAUCAAGGACAAGGGCAAUAAAAGCGGGAAAAGAGGAGAAGGGAAAGAGGAAACUCCCUUGAUCAUGGUGGUAGUUGCCAAUUUUGGACUUUCAGGGAGAGGUCUUCCACCAUUGGAUUCAGCAAGGAAGUAUUGAGGAAGAACUGCUUCAGUCUCCAAAUUUGAUCAAGCAGGGAGAUGUCCUCCACAACCGGAUCUAAGAAGUAGUGAUUAUUGAUGAGUGGGUUCAGCUGGUGCCUAAUAAUCUUCAAACUGUCGUGUAUGCUGACACCCUUGUCUUCCACCAUGGGUGUGUGUUGGUCAACUUCAUGUGUAUCUCCUGCAACAUGGUUAGUGCACUGUGGCUCCACAGAAAUAACAUGCAGGGGUUUAACACCCAAUCCCAAUGUAAGAGGCUGAACCUCAGAUAUACCCUCAGAACAUGAAUCAAUCUCAAAUGUAGAAACAAUAUCAACAACAGGCUCAGAUUCAUGUUCAGUGCAUGGAGAACAAACAUUCAGAUGCGAUAACAAAGAGUGGUUCUCAUCAUGCAAAGAGGGUGAAUGAAAAUCAUGCUCAUCAACAAUAUAAUCAUCAACACACCCAUCAUCAGCAUAAUCAUCAACAAUAGAAUCUAUCUCAGGUAUGUUUACCUCCACUUCCCUAGAUGUGGCUAAAGUGGUGAAAGAUGAAAGAAUGGGCAGGCUCAUGAAGUUGCGGCUGUUGUGGUUCUUGAACAGGUGGAGAAGGCAUACAAGGAGUUUGGAAUGGUGCUUCCUGAUAUUGGUGCUCUGAAGUACCAUGCCAUCCCAAGCUAGGGUCAUUCCAUCCAGGAUUGUCGCUACAACCAUAUCGCACAGAGAAGAAUUUGUCUAGAAACUGAUGCUUCAGAUCUUCCCAACUGGUGACGGAUCCUGGAGGAAGACAAUAACACCAAUCCUUUUCUGCUCCGUCUAACACUGUAACAAAAAUAUCUAAAUAUAAUUAAAGCCAUUAAAAUGCAACGCUAAAUUAAAAAUAUAAAACCCAACUCAAAAAACUAUAUGAAAUUAAAUUAAAACAAAAAAAAUAAAUAACACAAUUUACUUUUAGCAAUUAACAUGACCUAUGACAUCUACCAAAUGAAAUUUAAUUUGCCAAAUGGCCUAAGGGACCCUCUUGGUCGUGACCCAUGCACCAUUCUUCCUAUUCAAUUAAAACUNCAGAGAACGUUUCCUUCCAAAAGGCAACCCACAAGCUUGUUUCUCUUCCCAAUAUGCCGCACACCAUUUCCAAUUCAAUCUCAAAACUAAAUUGCUAGCAUUGAAUGCCUUUUCUCCCAAACACCACCGUACACCCCUUUGAAUAUAAAAUGCAAAUUAAAGAAAAACAAUGUGCCAGCAUGCUAUUCCCAAUGCAAUUGAAAAUGUUCUUGUAAAAUGAAGCCAACCAAUUUCUAGCAACAGUAACACGUUUGGAGGAAUAAAAGUGUGCCCACAAAACCAUCACAUCACAAGACNUCCUCCUAAUCUAUUUGUCAUCCCAAUCAAACAAAAGAAAUGCUACUUCCCUACACCAGCCGUGACCCACAGUCACCUAAUCUACCUAAUUUCAUAAACUAAUUAAAAGAAAAGCUGAAAUGAGUUAAGCCUCUGCACCGAAUUGCCAGACAUGAUUUGCUAACUUUCUUCAAUUAAAGAUGAAUUGGAACUUCUUCCCCAAAAGCCAACCAUCGUACCUCAUGCAAUCACUUUCCUUCAAUUUCAAAGAAAUACAAGAAAUAAAUCUCCACACCUAUUACUGCCAAGUGUCCCAUUUCUAGCCUCCAAUUGAAUUGCCUCCCUUGACCGAGAGAUGACUGACUGUGCUGCACCAUUCUCUAAAGCAAAUGAGUCAAUCACAAGCAAAUGAAAUUAACACCUUGUCCUAGUUGCCACCGUACACCUACUAUUAUUUAAUACCUUGCUUAUCAUG
rnacentral:lncRNA from 1 species